UUAUAAGAGACAGCAGUCGCCGCGGGAAUACGAGGGGGGCAAGCGUUGUUCGGAUUUAUUGGGCGUAAAGGGUGCGUAGGCGGUUUGGCAAGUCUUAUGUGAAAUCUUCGGGCUCAACCCGAAGCCUGCAUGAGAAACUACCGGGCUUGAGUAUGGGAGAGGUGAGUGGAAUUUCCGGUGUAGCGGUGAGAUGCGUAGAUAUCGGAAGGAACACCUGUGGCGAAAGCGGCUCACUGGACCAUAACUGACGCUGAAGCACGAAAGCUAGGGGAGCAAACAGGAUUAGAGACCCCAGUAGUCCCUGUCUCUUAUAC
rnacentral:rRNA from 1 species